UGGUUGAGGUUUCUAUGUUCAUUCCACUAUCUGUAAAAUAAACGAUACUACAUCUCGUAUCCCACUAAUAGUUUCCUUAAAACUGAAUGUCGGUCAAUAACUGUUUAUUUUUCAACCAUAACUAUAGUGUCCAGGUAAAGGCUACUACCAUCAGGAGUGCCUAGGAAUUGAAAGAGUACCUAAAGGAAAGUGGCUGUGCGACUUCUGCAAACAGAAAU